GACGAACGCUGGCGGCGUGCCUAAUACAUGCAAGUCGAACGCAGUGGGGACGGGUGAGUAACACGUGGGUAACCUCCCAUCAGAGGGGAUAACACUUGGAAACAGGUGCUAAACCGAUACUGAUGGAUGGACCCGGGGGGCUUUAGCUAGUUGGUGGGGUAACGGCUCACCAAGGCCACGAUGCAUAGCCGGCCUGAGAGGGUGAUCAGCCACACUGGGACUGAGACACGGCCCAGAUUCCUACGGGAGGCAGCAGUGGGGAAUCUUGUGCAAUGGACGAAAGCCUGAUCGAGCAACGCCGCGUGAGUGAAGAAGGUUUUCGGAUUGUAAAACUCUUUUGUUAGAGAAGCGGUAUCUAACCAGAAAGCCACGGCUAACUACGUGCCAGCAGCCGCGGUAAUUC
rnacentral:rRNA from 1 species